rnacentral:rRNA from 1 species
GCCAGCAGGCAUGUCACCCUGCAGCUCACCGCUGCCUGCCCAGUGAAGCUCAGCAGGUGUGAGCCUGGUCAGUACCUAGAUGGGAGACUCCUGGGAAAAACUAAGGCUGCUGCUGGAA